AUUGAACGCUGGCGGCAUGCCUUACACAUGCAAGUCGAACGGCAGCACGGGUGCUUGCACCUGGUGGCGAGUGGCGAACGGGUGAGUAAUACAUCGGAACAUGUCCUGUAGUGGGGGAUAGCCCGGCGAAAGCCGGAUUAAUACCGCAUACGAUCUACGGAUGAAAGCGGGGGACCUUCGGGCCUCGCGCUAUAGGGUUGGCCGAUGGCGGAUUAGCUAGUUGGUGGGGUAAAGGCCUACCAAGGCGACGAUCAGUAGCUGGUCGGAGAGGACGACCAGCCACACUGGGACUGAGACACGGCCCAGACGCCUACGGGAGGCAGCAGUGGGGAAUUUUGGACAAUGGGCGAAAGCCUGAUCCAGCAAUGCCGCGUGUGUGAAGAAGGCCUUCGGGUUGUAAAGCACUUUUGUCCGGAAAGAAAUGCUUGGCCCUAAUACGGUCGGGGGAUGACGGUACCGGAAGAAUAAGCACCGGCUAACUACGUG
rnacentral:rRNA from 1 species